rnacentral:lncRNA from 1 species
CAUAGUCUAUAUACAUGGGAUGGAAAUCUAUAUUGAUAGAUUUUAGGAUAUAAUUUGAUUAUAUUAAUCCCUAAUAAUAGACAAAAGAUGCUAGGAAGUUUCUCAUAUGAUGAUAAACUUUAAUCAGAAGAACAACUCUAGUGAGACUAGGAGGUAGCUCUUCUCAAAGGGAAUGUACCCUUUGACUCCCAAAGAAAUAAUGCGUAAAUAGAAUCCUUUAUGCGUAAGCAGAAAGGUGAUUUAUGUAUUUCAUAUUGUAUGAAAAACAUUGAUAUGGGUUGUAUCUAGAAAGGUACAAGACGAUAUCAGUGUAAGCCCAGGAUCAGAACCAUGGCAACUGUCAAGUAAGUCCUUAAGUAUUUAAGAAAUACUAAAGGAUAAAUUCCUCAAAGAAUGAGGAAGAAUCAGAGUAACGUAAUGGAAGCGUAAAUGUAUUAGAUUAUGAAUCUAAUCC